rnacentral:tRNA from 1 species
GGAGGAGUGGCCGAGUGGUUUAAGGCGGCGGUCUUGAAAACCGCUGUACCGAAAGGUACCGGGGGUUCGAAUCCCUCCUCCUCCG